rnacentral:lncRNA from 10 species
UGAGGAACUUGAGGCAAGUCACCAGCCCCUGAUCAUUUCGCCUAAAAGAGCAAGGACUAGAGUUCCUGACCUCCAGGCCAGUCCCUGAUCCCUGACCUAAUGUUAUCGCGGAAUGAUGAAAGAGGCUGGAGAGGAGCUGGGGCUGCCAGUGCCCAGCAGUGAGGGACCUGACCUCAGGGGCAGAGACAAGAGAGGCACCAAGGAGGAUCCAAGAGCUGACUAUGCCUGCAUUGCUGAGA